ACUCGGGAGGCUGAGGCAGGAGAAUCACUUGAACCCGCGAGAUGGAAGUUGCAGUGAGCUGAGAUCGCACCGAGAUCACCUGGGUGACAGAGCGAGACUCAGGCUCAAAUAAAUAAAUAAAUAAAUAAAUAAAUAAAUAAAAUAAAAAGAAACUCUUGAUUAGUUUCCAUUUUUCUAGGGUUUUACAAAAUGGAAUCCUACAGCCAGGGACAGUGGCUCCCACCUGUAAUCCCAGCACUUUGGAAGUCUGAAGUGAGUAGAUCACCUGAGGUCAGGAGUUCAAGACCAGCCUGGCCAACAUGGCAAAACCCCAUCACUACUAAAAAUAUAAAAAUUGGCCAGGCUGUGAGAUCGUCUCCCAUAGCAUUGAGCUGAUUUCUGUGGUUCCUUAGGUCAUGGGGGUAGGGUGAGGCCUGCUUCAAUCUUACCCUUUUGGGGCAGAACUCUUGAAAUCUUGGCUUAAUCUGGGGAGUUCUCUCUUAGAUCCCACCUUGGACACCCUUGGAUUUGAUUAUGUUUUUCUUGCCCUUGGAGGCUGUCAAAACCAAAGGUAAGUAUGGCAAGAUCGGCUCAUGCGUGAAACUAAAAGCUGUCUCAGAGCCCAGUGGCCUGUUUUUGUUGCUACUUUCCAUUAAGGUCUGACUUGGUAAUUCCUUAUUAGCUUUCGGAUGCCUUUCUGAUGUUAUUUGUGUCUACCAUAUUCCUUAAAAGGCAGCAUUGCUUCGUUUUUAAAUGGUGGGUUUUUGGGAGGUUUUUCUGAGACGGAGUCUUGCUCUGUAGCCCCGGCUGGAGUGCCAGCAGCAUGAUCUUGGCUCACUGCAACCUCUGCCUCCUGGGUUCAAGCAAUCCUCCUGCCUCAGCCUUCCAAGUAGCUGGGAUUACAGAUCUGCACCACCACGCUCAACUAAUUUUUGUUUUUUUAGUAGAGACAGGGUUUCACCAUGUUGGCCAGACUGGUCUUGAAUUCCUGACCUCAAGUGAUCUGUCUGCCUCGGCCUCCCAAAGCACUGGGAUUACAGGCGUGAAGCAUCACACCCAGGUAAAUGAAGUCUGUUAUUGUUGUUGUUAUUGUUGUUUUGAGAUGAAGUCUCACCCUAUCACCAGGCUGGAGUGCAGUGGUGUGAUCUCGGCUCACUGCAACCU
rnacentral:lncRNA from 1 species